rnacentral:pre_miRNA from 1 species
AGGGGGAGCGCAGGGUCCUGGGCUGUGUCCCCAACGUCCUGGGCUCUGGGGCCUGCACUGCUGGCAUCACACUCCCGGGGCCGCGCAGCCCCCU